rnacentral:sRNA from 1 species
GGGCAUGUUCUCAUAAAUAAUAAGAUAGAGCAUGUGAAGUUAAAAUAAGUUAUUGGAAUCCAAUAUCAAGAGAAGUAAAGAUUUUUUUUUAUCAUAUCAAACAUCGAAUGAUGUAAUAGGUUAGUAUAUUGACAAUAUCUUAUAUUGAGCGUUGUUUAAUGAUAUAUGAUAUUACUUAUCCUUCGUUUAUAUUCUAUUAGUUUAUGAUAUAAAAUAUCGAGCGCUGUUCUUGUAAUUGAUUAAUUACGAAAAUUUUAUAGUCAGUGUAGUUAUCGUUUAAAAAUGAUAUUUAAUAUUAAGGCAAGCAAUUGUUUUCAAUGAUAUCUCAUUGAGAAUAGUAAUUGUUUGUUUAUUAUAUCUCAUAUGAAGGACUGUAAUUUAUUGUUAAUGAUAUCUCAUAUCGAGAAAAGUCACUGUUUGUUUAUGAUAUCUGAUAUUGAGAAUAGUAAUUGUUUGUUUAAUAGCAAUAUGUUAUUGAUGAUAUUUGUUAUCAAUUGUUUGUUAAUGAUAUUGCAUAUUGAGGAUUGAAAUUGUUUGUUAAUGAUAUCUAAUAAUGAUGAUUGAAAUUGUUUGUUAUUUGAGGAUCGUAAUUCUUUGUUAAUGAUAUCGCAUAUUGAGGAUCUCAAUUCUUUGUUAAUGGUAUCGCAUAUUGAGGAUCUCAAUUCUUUGUUAAUGAUAUCGCAUAUUGAGGAUGGUAAUUGUUUAUUAGUACAAACAUGGAGAGUAGUAUUGUUUGUGAAUGAUAUUGUAUUGAGAUGCAUGUACGUAAAGUUUGAUUAAUGAUAGUUAAUAAUCACUUCAAGUGUACUGAUAUAAUGUUCCAAGAGUAGUUAUUGUUCGUAUAUGAUACCUAAUAUCGAGUGUAGUUAUUGCGUGCAAAUGAUACAUGUAUAUACUUAUUGCGUGUAACUGAUGUAUAGUUAUUGAGUGUAACUGUCAUAUCAUAUACUGAUCAGGAGCAAAUAUUAGGUUUUUUUUACACUGACAGUAUAUAUUUAUCGAACUGUUUAAGGAAGAUCACACAUCAGAUUGUAAACUGCAGAAAAUGUAUAAGAACACGUUAGUUAACUAUGCAGCUGACUUUCCGACCCGAUUUUGACCCCUGGCUGGUCAGGGACCACGAGACUCUUUGUGACCACGCUGUUCCCUUACGCCGCAUUACACCCGAACAGGCACCUGCCUCGGCUGUUUGGUGACAACUGCGCGGGUCAAUUUACUUUCCAUGGGCAGGUACCAGCACAGAGUCAGAGCCCCGAUUGUGUACCUCUUCUAAUUGAUGUCAUGCUUAGCAUUUUGUAACGCGCUGUUUUGUUUCCUUCCAAAUUAAGUUUUUAUCCGAAUAUAGAGGUCAAAACUUUAUGACAAAUCACUUUACGUCUAAAGAAGUGGGAAAAUAUUUUAAUCGCCAGAUUUUCUCGACAACCACGGCGUAUAAUAUGAAUGAUUUUUAUGCACAUUUAGAACAUUGCCAUUGACAUUUGUGUCCCAUGACUUUAAAUGCUGUAUCUAUAAACAAGGCCUUAAAAUUAUAAUC